GAAUCCCGGGGCAACCCGGGGGAAGUGGCGAAAGGGGCAGUAAGGCGUGGGUGACCUACCCCGGGGUCCGGGAUAGCCGUCCUAACGGGCGGGUAAUACCGGGCGUCGAGCGCAAGCUUGAAAGGUUUACCGCCCCGGGAGGGGCCCACGUGAUAUUAGCUCGUUGGCGGGGUAACGGCCCACCAAGGCUGAGAUGUCUAGCGGGUGUGAGAGCACGACCCGCGCCACUGGCACUGAGACACUGGCCAGACACCUACGGGUGGCUGCAGUCGAGGAUCUUCGGCAAUGGGCGCAAGCCUGACCGAGCGACGCCGCGUGUGCGACGAAGGCCUUCGGGUUGUAAAGCACUUUGGCGGGGGAGGAAGGGGCGACCUUGACCUAUCCCGAGAACAAGCACGGGCUAAGUUCGUGCCAGCAGCCGCGGUAAGACGAACCGUGCGAACGUUGUUCGGAAUCACUGGGCUUAAAG
rnacentral:rRNA from 1 species